UUCUCGUUGAUGAUCGGUGCUUGCACCGAGAUUCAACAUGGAACGAGUGGCGGACGGGUGAGUAACACGUGGGUAACCUGCCCUUAAGUGGGGGAUAACAUUUGGAAACAGAUGCUAAUACCGCAUAGAUCCAAGAACCGCAUGGUUCUUGGCUGAAAGAUGGCGUAAGCUAUCGCUUUUGGAUGGACCCGCGGCGUAUUAGCUAGUUGGUGAGGUAAUGGCUCACCAAGGCGAUGAUACGUAGCCGAACUGAGAGGUUGAUCGGCCACAUUGGGACUGAGACACGGCCCAAACUCCUACGGGAGGCAGCAGUAGGGAAUCUUCCACAAUGGACGCAAGUCUGAUGGAGCAACGCCGCGUGAGUGAAGAAGGCUUUCGGGUCGUAAAACUCUGUUGUUGGAGAAGAAUGGUCGGCAGAGUAACUGUUGUCGGCGUGACGGUAUCCAACCAGAAAGCCACGGCUAACUACGUGCCAGCAGCCGCGGUAAUACGUAGGUGGCAAGCGUUAUCCGGAUUUAUUGGGCGUAAAGCGAGCGCAGGCGGUUUUUUAAGUCUGAUGUGAAAGCCCUCGGCUUAACCGAGGAAGCGCAUCGGAAACUGGGAAACUUGAGUGCAGAAGAGGACAGUGGAACUCCAUGUGUAGCGGUGAAAUGCGUAGAUAUAUGGAAGAACACCAGUGGCGAAGGCGGCUGUCUGGUCU
rnacentral:rRNA from 1 species